rnacentral:lncRNA from 1 species
AUGAAAACAUUAUAUAAAGUGGCAUUGUUUAAAGUGGCUAGUGAUACAUCUAAUUACAUCAAGAUGGCAAGAUGCAGCAGAUGGUAUGGCGUACAGUAUAUACAUAUGAGAUGAAUAAUGUAGGUUAAGUAAACAUUAUCUAAUAUAAAUAAUAUAAAGUGGCAAGUGAUAAAUUGAUUACAUCAAUUUUUCCAUUAUUAAAGUGGCUUGAGUUGAGUCAGUAUGUUGGCAGCAGCCACUCAAUGUUAGUGAUGGCUGUUUAACAGUCUGAUGGCCUUGAGAUAGAAGCUGUUUUUCAGUCUCUCGGUUCCAGCUUUGAUGCACCUGUACUGACCUCGCCUUCUGGAUGUUAGCGGGGUGAACAGGCAGUGCCUCGGGUGGUUGCUGUCCUUGAUGAUCUUUUUGGCCUUCCUGUGACAUCGGGUGGUGUAGGUGUCCUGGAGGGCAGGUAGUUUGCUGAAGUCCACGAUCAUCUCUUUUGUUUUGUUGACAUUGAGUGCGAGGUUAUUUUCCUGACACCACACUCCGAGGGCCCUCACCUCCUCCCUGUAGGCCAUCUCGUCGUUGUUGGUAAUCAAGCCUACCACUGUAGUGUCGUCUGCAAACUUGAUGAUUGAGUUGGAGGCGUGCAUGGCCACGCAGUCAUGGGUGAACAGGGAGUACAGAAGAGGGCUGAGAACGCACCCUUUUGGGGACCCAGUGUUGAGGAUCAGCGGGGUGGAGAUGUUGUUACCUACCCUCACCACCUGGGGGCGGCCCGUCAGGAAGUCCAUGACCCAGUUGCACAGGGUGGGGUCGAGACCCAGGGUCUCGAGUUUAAUGACGAGUUUGGAGGGUACUAUGGUGUUAAAUGCUGAGCUGUAAUCGAUGAACAGCAUUCUUACAUAGGUAUUCCUCUUGUCCAGAUGGGUUAGGGCAGUUUGCAGUGUGAUGGCGAUUGCAUCGUCUGUGGACCUAUUGGGUCGGUAAGCAAAUUGGAGUGGGUCUAGGGUGUCAGGUAGGGUGGAGGUGAUAUGGUCCUUGACUAGUCUCUCAAAGCACUUCAUGAUGACGGAAGUGAGUACAUUAUGAUCCAUUAAUUCAUUACACUCCCUCCUCUGUCAAUGCCAUUGGAAUCCAAAUUUGCGCUGCCGGGUCAACAGUUUCAAGCUACAUUCAGUGUGUUCCAAAAAAUCGCAACCCAGUAAGCAAAAAAAUAAAUAAUUCCCUUACAGGAACUGGCACAUUCUUAAUGUAAAGCACCUGUGGGACAAUCAAUCUGUUUUGCAUAAAUACAAAUAGCCAUGUCUAUGAAGUAAUAACCAGUUUCCUGAUAGCGAUAGAAUUAGGCUUACAAGUGUUUUAAUAAGGUGUUUGCCAAAACACCACGCAGGGAGAACUUCCAAUAAGUACAUCGUUAGAGCAUGUGUCGAUACUGACUGGAUCAAAAGAAAGGCAACGCUGCCCUCAGAUCAGCUUUCUCCAUUCAACUCUUACCUUUAACAUUAGAUACUGACCACAGAUCAGGUCCUAGAGAGAAAUUAUCACCUAUGCCUGCGAAUAUUGAGGAGGCUUAUUCUAAUGCUAAGGCUAUCCACUAAAUCAAAUAUUUGGCACAUCAUUGUGCAUAUGUUGUUAGGUCUACACAUCAUGAAAUGUAGGCAAUAAUUACAGAGAGUAGCCUACAAUUAGCAUUGAAAAAUAAAGCACAAAUACAUCUUGACAAGUUUUCAACCCCCUGAGUCAAUACAUGUUAGAAUCAUCUUUGGCAGUGAUGUGUCUUUCUGGGUAAGUCUCUUCUAACUUUGCACUCCUAGAUUGUACAAUAUUUUCACAUUAUCCUUGAAAAUAUUCUUCAAGCUCUGUCAAGCUGGUUUCUGAUCAUUGCUAGACAGCCAUUUUCAAGCAUUGGAAUAUAUUUUCAAGUCAAAAUGGUACCCAAGCCACUCAGGAACAUUCAAUGUUGUCUUGGUAAGUACUGUAACUCCAGUGUAUAUUUGGUCUUGUGUUUUAGGUUAUUGUCCUGCUGAAAGGUGAAUUCAUCUCCCAGUGUCUGUUGGAAAGCAGACUGAACCAGAUUUUCCUCUAGGAUUUUUCCUGUGUUUAGCUCUAUUCCAUUUAUUUUUAUCAAUUUUUUUUUUCCCUAGUUCUUUCCGAUGACAAGCCUACCCAUAACAUUACCACCACCGUGCUUGAAAAUAUAAAGAUUGGUUCUCUGUGAUGUGUUGUGUUGGAUGUGCACCAAUGACGCUUUGUAUUCAGGACAUAAGUAGUACUACGCGAUUGGACAAGGACUACUGCCAAUAGCCAAUGAGCAUUCAACAUGUGAGACCAAAAAAACAAUGAUGGUGAAGAGGAAAGCAACAACAACAUGCUCCGUGUGGACCAAGGUGAUGGGAGACAGGUUGGUGGAGCUGGAGAGAGAACACGCUCCGUGUGGACCAAGGUGAUGGGAG